rnacentral:rRNA from 1 species
AUUGAACGCUGGCGGCAUGCCUUACACAUGCAAGUCGAACGGUAACAGGUCUUCGGAUGCUGACGAGUGGCGAACGGGUGAGUAAUACAUCGGAACGUGCCUAGUAGUGGGGGAUAACUACUCGAAAGAGUGGCUAAUACCGCAUGAGAUCUACGGAUGAAAGCAGGGGAUCGCAAGACCUUGUGCUACUAGAGCGGCCGAUGGCAGAUUAGGUAGUUGGUGGGAGAAAAGCUUACCAAGCCGACGAUCUGUAGCUGGUCUGAAAGGACGAUCAGCCACACUGGGACUGAGAAACGGCCCAGACUCCUACGGGAGGCAGCAGUGGGGAAUUUUGGACAAUGGGCGCAAGCCUGAUUCAGCAAUGCCGCGUGCAGGAUGAAGGCCUUCGGGUUGUAAACUGCUUUUGUACGGAACGAAAAGCCCCGGGUUAAUACCCUGGGGUCAUGACGGUACCGUAAGAAUAAGCACCGGCUAACUACGUGCCAGCCGCCGCGGUAA